rnacentral:rRNA from 4 species
CGGGGGUAGAGCACUGUUUCGGCUAGGGGGCCAUCCCGGCUUACCAACCCGAUGCAAACUGCGAAUACCGGAGAAUGUUAUCACGGGAGACACACGGCGGGUGCUAACGUCCGUCGUGAAGAGGGAAACAACCCAGACCGCCAGCUAAGGUCCCAAAGUCAUGGUUAAGUGGGAAACGAUGUGGGAAGGCCCAGACAGCCAGGAUGUUGGCUUAGAAGCAGCCAUCAUUUAAAGAAAGCGUAAUAGCUCACUGGUCGAGUCGGCCUGCGCGGAAGAUGUAACGGGGCUAAACCAU